UAAGAAUGUGUGCGUGCGGCAGGCCUCGCU
rnacentral:sRNA from 1 species